GAUGGUGGUUGCUUGGCUCGGAGGAUAGCCACUCACGAUGGCCAUACAAUGCCACACGGUUAAAUCCUCUGCAGAGGGAGAGCUGUUUGUCCCCAGCUGCCCAUGGCCAAAGAGCUGAGGAGAAAAGCAGCCUGAAAAGAUGCCAUAAAGUGAACAGACCUUUCAAAUGGCCAAAUACAGACCUUGUUCAAGAAGACAAAGAAUGGUCCUCCCGAAUGACCCUGCCUACUGCAACUGUUCUGGAAUGUUCUGAUGGAUCUUCUAGUUCCCAACAGUAAUACUGGAGUCAGACCCAUUCCUGAAACAACAUUGCUAUUUCUUAGAUAUCUUUCCCAUCUGGUGAUACCAUAGCUUGGAGCAUGGACUGAUUUUCCACCCUUCUUCAUUGGAGAGUCUGUCUUUGUGUGUAGCCAGCAGGGAACAUGGCUGGUGUAGGAGGGAGUUUCUGUUGUAACUGUCUAUUUUUAGUGGCUCAUAAACUCAGUAUUCCUUGGC